ACUCCUACGGGAGGCAGCAGUGGGGAAUUUUGGACAAUGGGCGAAAGCCUGAUCCAGCAAUGCCGCGUGAGUGAAGAAGGCCUUCGGGUUGUAAAGCUCUUUUGUCAGGGAAGAAACGGUGAAAGCUAAUAUCUUUUGCUAAUGACGGUACCUGAAGAAUAAGCACCGGCUAACUACGUGCCAGCAGCCGCGGUAAUACGUAGGGUGCAAGCGUUAAUCGGAAUUACUGGGCGUAAAGCGUGCGCAGGCGGUUUUGUAAGUCUGAUGUGAAAUCCCCGGGCUCAACCUGGGAAUUGCAUUGGAGACUGCAAGGCUAGAAUCUGGCAGAGGGGGGUAGAAUUCCACGUGUAGCAGUGAAAUGCGUAGAUAUGUGGAGGAACACCGAUGGCGAAGGCAGCCCCCUGGGUCAAGAUUGACGCUCAUGCACGAAAGCGUGGGGAGCAAACAGGAUUAGAUACCCGAGUAGUCCCAUGAU
rnacentral:rRNA from 1 species